GCCUUCGUAGUGUAAUGGUAACACACUUAAGUGCGUAUUCGAGAGAUCCAGGUUCGAGCUCCGGCGAGGGCA
rnacentral:tRNA from 1 species